CCAUCAGAACUACACGAGGCAAAGGCUCAGAUUUUCUGGAAGGAAAUGGAUGGAACCUCAUGUGAACUCUCACACGACAGUAAUUAUGAGCUGGCACUAAGAGAAUUUACCCUUCAGAAAUGUUUCCACAAGUAGGGCCACUAUCUACACUUGUUAUCUGAAUGUGAGAGCUGAGGUACAGGAGGCACAUAACUGAGAGCCAGCCAUGGGAAGUGAGCUGGCUGGUGGGAAGCUGUGGUUGAAGACAGCAGAGCUUCCUUCAGCCGGGUCCCCAGUAACUGCAGAGAGCAACUUACAGCUUCAUCCCACACCCCCAAUUCUAUCAGAAUAGAGUGAGCUCAUGACAACAGUGACAAACAACACCUGAUGACUAAUGAGACACCCUCGGAAGCCCCAGAAACGUGAUCACCACCACAGAGAAGCUAAGUCCUCACUCCGUUUCUGGCGGACA